UCAGACGAUGCGUCAUGCAUAUCAAUAAGCGGAGGAAAAGAAACUAACAAGGAUUCCCCUAGUAACGGCGAGUGAAGCGGGAAGAGCUCAAAUUUGAAAUCUUAAAGGGUUUCCCUUUACGAAUUGUAGUUUAAAGAAGUGUUUUCUGUUGAGGUUUUGGUAAAAGUUCUUUGGAAUAGGACAUCAUAGAGGGUGAGAAUCCCGUAUUUGACCUUUACUUUCAACUUUGUGAUACACUUUCAAAGAGUCGGAUUGUUUGGGAAUGCAGUCCAAAAUGGGUGGUAAAUUUCAUCUAAAGCUAAAUAUUGGCGAGAGACCGAUAGCGAACAAGUACCGUGAGGGAAAGAUGAAAAGAACUUUGAAAAGAGAGUUAAACAGUACGUGAAAUUGUCAAAAGGGAAGCGUUUGACACCAGUGUUGUUUUUCUGAAAAUCAAUUAAAGAACUGUUUAUGCUAAGUUGUUUAGACUUUAUCAGCUAACUGUUUAGUUUUGAGCUUUUCUUUAAUGCACUUUUCAGUUAACAAGUCAACAUCAAUUUCUUUUGCUGUAAAAAAGCUUGAGGAAGGUGGCUUGAGAUUCGUCUUAAGUGUUUAUAGCCUCUUGCCUAUGCAGUCGGAGAGACUGAGGUCUGCAGCGUAGAUCCUUCGGGGCUAAAUGCAUUUGUGCUAAGUUAUAGCAUUUUAUAGACAACUUGUUGACUAUGAUUUGUCUUGUAGCUUACUCGCUUAUGUUAUUUUACCUACGCUUAGGAUGUUGAGCGCAUGUCUCUCUCU
rnacentral:rRNA from 1 species